GUACUUGUUUUGGCAGCACAUAUACUAAAACUGGAAUUGUACAUAAAUUAACAUGGCCCCUACCCCCCCCCCAAAAUACCCAGUUUAUGAAGUAGUCCAUAUUUUU
rnacentral:snRNA from 1 species